UGGGGAAUCUUGGUCAAUGGGCGCAAGCCUGAACCAGCGAUGCCGCGUGAGUGAUGAAGGCCUUCGGGUUGUAAAGCUCUGUGGGGAGGGACGAAAAAGCGAAGUCGAAUAGGCUUCGUGUUGACGGUACCUCCUUAGCAAGCACCGGCUAACUCUGUGCCAGCAGCCGCGGUAAGACAGAGGGUGCAAACGUUGCUCGGAAUCACUGGGCGUAAAGGGCGUGUAGGCGGGAAGGAAAGUCAGAUGUGAAAUCCCUGGGCUCAACCCAGGAACUGCAUUUGAAACUCCCUUUCUUGAGUACCGGAGAGGAAGGUGGAAUACCUGGUGUAGAGGUGAAAUUCGUAGAUAUCAGGUGGAACACCAGUGGCGAAGGCGGCCUUCUGGACGGUAACUGACGCUGAGACGCGAAAGCGUGGGGAGCAAACAG
rnacentral:rRNA from 1 species